rnacentral:rRNA from 1 species
GACGAACGCUGGCGGCGUGCUUAACACAUGCAAGUCGAGCGGUAAGGCCCUUUCGGGGGUACGACGAGCGGCGAACGGGUGAGUAACACGUGGGUGGACCUGCCUCUAGCUCUGGGAUAAGCCUGGGAAGGCUGGGUCUAAUACCGGAUAUGACCUCGCGGUGCAUGUUGCGGGGUGGAAAGCCUUGUGCGGCUAGGGAUGGGCCCGCGGCCUAUCAGCUUGUUGGUGGGGUGAUGGCCUACCAAGGCGACGACGGGUAGCCGGCCUGAGAGGGCGACCGGCCACACUGGGACUGAGACACGGCCCAGACUCCUACGGGAGGCAGCAGUGGGGAAUCUUGCGCAAUGGGCGAAAGCCUGGCGCAGCGACGCCGCGUGAGGGAUGACGGCCUC